AACACGACUCUCGGCAACGGAUAUCUCGGCUCUCGCAUCGAUGAAGAACGUAGCAAAAUGCGAUACCUGGUGUGAAUUGCAGAAUCCCGUGAACCAUCGAGUUUUUGAACGCAAGUUGCGCCCGAUACCUUCUGGUUGAGGGCACGCCUGCCUGGGCGUCACGC
rnacentral:rRNA from 1 species